rnacentral:rRNA from 1 species
GAUGAACGCUAGCUACAGGCUUAACACAUGCAAGUCGAGGGGAAACGGCAUCGUAAGCUUGCUUUUGAUGGGCGUCGACCGGCGCACGGGUGAGUAACGCGUAUCCAACCUGCCCAUCACUUGGGAAUAACCUUGCGAAAGUAACACUAAUGCCCAAUGACAUCCCACGAAGGCAUCCGAAUGGGAUCAAAGAGUUAUCGGUGAUGGAUGGGGAUGCGUCUGAUUAGCUUGUUGGCGGGGUGACGGCCCACCAAGGCAACGAUCAGUAGGGGUUCUGAGAGGAAGGUCCCCCACAAUUGAACUGCGACACGGUCCAAACUCCUACGGGAGGCAGCAGUGAGGAAUAUUGGUCGAGGGGCGAGAGCCUGAACCAGCCAAGUAGCGUGCAGGAGUACGGCCCUAUGGGUUGUAAACUGCUUUUAUAAGGGAAUAGUGUGGGUAACGUGUGACUUUUUGCAUGUACCUUAUGAAUAAGGACCGGCUAAUUCCGUG